AGAGUUUGAUCAUGGCUCAGGAUGAACGCUAGCUACAGGCUUAACACAUGCAAGUCGAGGGGAAACGACAUCGAAAGCUUGCUUUUGUAUGGGCGUCGACCGGCGCACGGGUGAGUAACGCGUAUCCAACCUGCCCACCACUUGGGGAUAACCUUGCGAAAGUAAGACUAAUACCCAAUGAUAUCUCUAGAAGACAUCUGAAAGAGAUUAAAGAUUUAUCGGUGAUGGAUGGGGAUGCGUCUGAUUAGCUUGUUGGCGGGGUAACGGGCCCACCAAGGCAACGAUCAGUAGGGGUUCUGAGAGGAAGGUCCCCCACCAUUGGAACUGAGACACGGUCCAAACUCAUACGGGAGGCAGCA
rnacentral:rRNA from 1 species